AGCCAACAUCGAUUUUUUCCAUCUCUACGUGCGCAUCGAAGAAGAAAACGCGUAAUUUGUUCUGUUGGUGGUGUUGGCUGAAGUAGUGGAGUGGACGGUCAUGGACAGACACUUGAAACGAACAUCAAAUUCAGAGGAAAAUGUGGAGGAGCCAGCUCAAAAAAAGAAGCGAGAAGCUUCCAUCGCUUGGAAUCAUUUCAAGAAAACGGUUGAAAAAAACACAUGCCAUUUGUAAUUACUGUGGAAAGGCCAUAAAAACGAUGGGAAACACCACAAACCUUCUUAACCAUCUGAGCAACGUACAUCCAGAACGGCUUAAAGACAGCAAAGGCAACAAUCAUACAACCGCUUUAGAUGUGUUUGUGGGAAAGUCCACUGUGCAUUAUAUCAAUGAUUCGGCGAGGAAAAUAAAGAUUGAUGAAAUGGUGCUAAACAUGAUUGCUGUGGAUGUUCAGCCUUUUAGUUGUGUCGAGGAUGAGGGUUUCGAGCCAACGAAGGCUACAUAACUGUAACAUGUCAUUUUAUAUCCACCAAUUUCAAAUUGGAAUCAGCCAUUUUAGCAACACAGCAUCUUCUAACGCCAACCAAUCACACAGCUGCGAAUAUAGCAGAUACCAUUAAAUCGGUGCUAUCAGAUUGGUCGAUAUCGCAAAAAGUGGUAUGUAUGGUUUCAGACAACGAUGCAUCGAUGAAAAAAGCAUGCGAGUCAUUAAAAUACAAACACUUACCGUGUGUGGCCCACACAAUCAACCUGCUGGUCCAGGACAUGUUGAAACAGCAAAUUUUAGAUGAUAUUCUAAGCAGGUGUAAGACAAUAGUAGCUUUUUUCAAACGAAGUUCGACUGCGUAUACUAAAUUUAAGGCAGCGCAAAAAACAGAAAAUCCGUACGUCCUGAUACAAGAAAUGCCGACCCGCUGGAAUAACGCGUACGAGAUGAUUAAAAGAAUAAUUAUAACAAACGAAUACAUAAGUGUAGUCUUGGCAGUAUCCCACAAUGCCCCACUACCGUUGUCUGCCGAGGAUAUUGAUACAUUAAAAGAAUUAUCCAUGUUGUUAGCCCCGUUUGCGGAUGCAAUUCUGUCGGUUUCAACGAACACAAAUGUAUCAAUUUCAUUAAUUAUUCCCGUUGUUUGCGAACUUUUCCAUAAAAUUAACGGUUUGGAACUUAAAACAGUGGAAGGAAUCGCUGCCUCGAAUUAUGUGAAGAUUCGUUUACGAGAAAGGUUAUUUCCAUACGAAACAAGAACUAUUCCACGCGUAGCCACUAUCAUUGAUCCUCGAUUUAAAAAACAGGGAUUCCUUGGCGCAUCGAACGCGGAGGAAGCGGCCAAGGCUCUACAGGAAGAGCUGAACUCCAUUUGUAUUACAAUCCCACGACCGCAGCCGGCACCACCAACAGAGGAACCGACACGGUUCUCAUUUCUUAAAACUAAAAUUGAGGCGUGCUGAUUCAGUCAUUCUGUUACGGCAACAUUUAGAAAAAGGGAACCAGCCGGAAAACUGCGAUCCCCUUGCGUAUUGGAAGAUCUCAACUGAAGAAGCUUUAAAAAAGGUAUCCAAGAAGUUCCUAUGCAUUCCAGCUUCGUCAUGCGAGUCGGAACGUCUGUUUAGCAAGGCAGGCCAAGUUAUUUCAGACCGUCGUACUCGCCUUUCCCCAUCAGUCGUCGACAAGCUUUUG